CGGUACACUCUAGGGUGUGGACAAUCUCUUCUAAAGUGACCCGGCUGGUUACAAUUAAAACAAGUCCGGAUUGUUGUGACAGUCCGGUCACGGUCUCGGGAGAAGGGAAGCGGUGCAGGCAGUGUCUGGGGGGACUGAGUGUACUGUUGGGGGGGCAUCUGUGGACCCUGAUUUGGACCUACAAUCGGGGCGGAGGCAGCAUACAUCAGAGGGUUGGUUCUACGCUGUGUGGGGAGCAUUACAGAUUCUAAGCCCUUGGCUACCAGCAAAAGAGUGUCCAGUGGAAUAAUUCUAUACUCAGGUCGAGCUAAAAUUAACCCCUUACGAAUGUGUUCCCUAAGCCCUGCCACAAAAGCUGCAGAAAGCAUCUGAGUGUGUGCUUUGUUGUAAGUACUGAACCCUAAGUCUGAAAAGGUCUGGGUUAACCUAGAGUGAUACUUUUCAACAGUCUCAAGUUUGUCCUGUAAUAUGUCAUUAAUGCAAGUAGCCUGAUCUGCUAAUUUAUCCUGUGCCCAGGCACGAAGCUGUUCACAAAAAAUUUCACCAGAGCGAAAGUCAGUAUCAGAAGUCAGUGGAGCAUCAUUAAAACUCCGUUCCAUGAUUGGCCAGUAUGCAUCUCCAGCCUUUAUUUCACAUAGACUAAUAAGAUCUCUCCAGGCAGCGGAGUAUGUUUUACGGAUCUGAGCCAUUCUGCGGAAGAAGGGCAUGGGGUGUUUUUCAGGAUCAGGGAGCGAGGUUACGAGGGUAGCAGCUUGGGAAGGGUUGAAGGUGACAUACAUAGGCGGUGCACCAUCCGCACCAUGGGUGAUCUGGGGAUAUCCCUGAGGGAUAGAGUGCUGGGGAGGGGGCCUAUUCACCCCUAGGUGGGGCGAACUCUGGUCAACCAUAACAACCUCUUCGGGCGCCACUGGGCCACGGCGAAGAGUAGUCUCAGGGGUGGCAGUAGCGGGGACAACAGGAAGGGCGGUGAGGGGGGAGGUAGUAGGGUGAAACCCUGAGGCCUGGGGGGAGGCACCCAUCGCAUAGGGCUGGUCAGAUGUCCCAGACACUUCAGAUCCAACCACCAUGAUUGGGUAACUAGGACUAGUGGAAGGGACAUGAGGGACCAAAGCCGUGGAAGGGGCAGUAAGGGGGGUCGGUUGGCUUGGGCGUGAAAGGUGGGUGUUCAGAACAUGUGCGAGUGCAGAGAUUGGAUCGGAGGGUUCGGAGGUAUCGGCAUGAGACAAGGGUGGGGUCGGAGACUCGGGAGGAGGAGGAGGAGGAGGAGGCACGUCAAUAGGAGGCGGCACGGGGAUCGCGGAAGUAACCAGGGAGGUAACAGCAGUGAAGAGGGCGGAUAUUGAACUAGGCAAAUCACUGGUUAUGGGUGCGUCAGAGGUCGCUGGGGGAGGGGUCAGAGGGACGGAAUCGGGGGGUUGUGACAGGGUCGGAGGGGCAGGGAUAUCGGGAGGAGGGAACACGGAAAAAGGAGGUGGAGGGAUAACAACGGGGGGUUGGGUUAGGGCGGUGAGGGCAGAGAUCAGGGACGGCAAAUCGGCCGCGGGAGUGGGAGGCAACGAGGUAGAGGGGGCUGGGACUUCAGGAGGAGGUAACGCUGGAGUAGGAGGGGUGGCGGCAAUGGGUUGGGUCAGGGCGGUGAGGGCAGAGAUUAGGGACGGCAAAUCGGCCGCGGGAGUGGGAGGCAACGAGGUAGAGGGGGCUGGGACUUCAGGAGGAGGUAACACUGGAGGAGAUGUAGGAGGAGGAUCCUUGAGGAUGGAAGGGGUAUCUGUGGGUAAGGGGACGGAGGCAAGGGAACCGGGAUUAACGGGUUGGACAAGAUUCAGGAGAGCGGAGAGUAG